GACGAACGCUGGCGGCGUGCUUAACACAUGCAAGUCGAACGGAAAGGCCCUGCUUUUGUGGGGUGCUCGAGUGGCGGACGGGUGAGUAACACGUGAGUAACCGGCCCUUGACUUUGGGAUAACUUCAGGAAACUGGGGCUAAUACCGGAUAGGAGCUCCUGCUGCAGGGUGGGGGUUGGAAAGUUUCGGCGGUUGGGGAUGGACUCGCGGCUUAUCAGCUUGUUGGUGGGGUAGUGGCUUACCAAGGCUUUGACGGGUAGCCGGCCUGAGAGGGUGACCGGCCACAUUGGGACUGAGAUACGGCCCAGACUCCUACGGGAGGCAGCAGUGGGGAAUAUUGCACAAUGGGCGGAAGCCUGAUGCAGCAACGCCGCGUGCGGGAUGACGGCCUUCGGGUUGUAAACCGCUUUCGCCUGUGACGAAGCGUGAGUGACGGUAAUGGGUAAAGAAGCACCGGCUAACUACGUG
rnacentral:rRNA from 1 species